CUCAGUCAGCGCAGACAAAACAGAGCGACACCUCCGUUCUUUUUUGCCACAUUGAGAUUCUCCGCCAAGUUGAGCUACACGUCAGUGGGGAACCUGUACUGGUGAGUGGACGUGUACGGUGCCCGUCAGGCGGUUCCCGGAUGCAGCGAACAGAAACAUGGAACGGGUAGUGGUGGAUGUGCCGAUCAACAACGGUUUUUCCUUUGCCUGCCCCUCUACAACCCCACGAAAGCGCCAGGUGCGUUUUUCAGCGCGGCAUGACAUCAUCCUUCUGCGAGAGGUUAUCGCACAGAACCCCUUCGCCUCCAAAGAACCAGGACGGAUCUGGGCCCGUGUGGGGGAGAUUAUCACUGCAGCUCUCCAGGAAGAAAACUUUGAGGUGGAUGCCAGGAGGUGCAGAGAGAGGACCAUGCUGCUGCUAGACUACUACAAGAAACAAGACUUUCCCAGUCUGCGCAGGUUUGGAACAGAGAGGUUGUACGCUCAAAAGGAGGAUCUACUCCAUGAGGUCUUGGAGCUGGAGGCUGAGAAGGGGCUCCUGGCCAGUGGUGAAGUGCCAAAGUACCAGGACGAUGAGCGGAGAAGUCGAGCCAUAGAAGAACUAAAUCUACCAGAACAGGACAAGCCAAACAUCACUAUCACGCACACACCCACUGCAGAACCAGAAGACGACCGCGAAGAAACGGCAGAGCUUUCAGCAGCUCCCACAGCCAAGCGGCCCUGCCAGUGUUGCUGCCAGACCUACUCUGAGAUUCUCAGCUUUCUGGAGAAACGCUCAGAGGCGGAGCAACGACUUCGAGAGGAGGAGCUCGCCCUGCGCAGAGAGGAACUGGAGAUUCAGAGGAGUAAGAUCGCUCUGGAGAGAGAACGUCUGGGAGCUGAGAGGAAGGAGAGGGAGCGGAGAUUUGAGCUCGAGAGCCAGGAGAGGCAGGUCAUCUUGGACCUGCUGAAAGAGAAGUGUCUCAUGUGGCCCUGCAGCUUCUCCUCCUCCACCUCCUCCUGAAGCCUUCAUCUUCUUCAUCAUCAGCUGCUCAGUGACUCUGUUGGACGUCUCACCGUGUGGCAGCAGCUCAGGAGUUUGCAGUCAACCAAGGCCGACUCAGAAUCACUCCCACCGGGAAGAUCUGUGAAGGAAGGUCCACCCGGCUGGUCCAGAAGCUCCGGUCCAGCAGAGCAGCGUCAGGAUGGAGACGUAACCGGGUGAGAUCCUUGAACUCCAGUCCAGUCCAGUGACACUCCACACCACAGACCACAACCUUUCCACUCCACUAUCACCCUCCACAAGGUUCCCAGCGGGGAUUCGAACCAUGACCAUCCACAUGACAGACACACACCCUCUGUGUGAGCUAUCUGUCACACAAGGUCCUUGGUGGAGUUUGUUGUAAUGAUGGUUGCAAGAGGUUGUCAUGCAGCCAAAGUGUAAAAAGAGCCUUGAGCUGGAUUCAAACCAAGGACCUCCUGGAUGAGAGGCAGAUAACUUACCACUGCACUAUCCUUCCUACUGGGUGUAGCUGUUAGUUUUCGUAAAUGAUGGUACACAAAAGUAUUAAGGAAGUGAAGAUAAUAAAGGUACUAAGGU
ensembl:lncRNA